rnacentral:rRNA from 1 species
AUGAACGCUGGCGGCGUGCCUAAUCCCUGCCAGUCGAGCGAACAGAUAAGGAGCUUGCUCCUUUGACGUUAGCGGCGGACGGGUGAGUAACACGUGGGUAACCUACCUAUAAGACUGGGAUAACUUCGGGAAACCGGAGCUAAUACCGGAUAAUAUUUCGAACCGCAUGGUUCGAUAGUGAAAGAUGGUUUUGCUAUCACUUAUAGAUGGACCCGCGCCGUAUUAGCUAGUUGGUAAGGUAACGGCUUACCAAGGCGACGAUACGUAGCCGACCUGAGAGGGUGAUCGGCCACACUGGAACUGAGACACGGUCCAGACUCCUACGGGAGGCAGCAGUAGGGAAUCUUCCGCAAAGGGCGAAAGCCUGACGGAGCAACGCCGCGUGAGUGAUGAAGGUCUUCGGAUCGUAAAACUCUGUUAUUAGGGAAGAACAUACGUGUAAGUAACUGUGCACGUCUUGACGGUACCUAAUCAGAAAGCCACGGCUAACUACGUG